CCAACAGUUUUUCACGGAAAUGAAAUGGCAUUUCUGACUUUUAAGUCUUCCUUGUCCAUCCCUGUGAUGUUAUGAUCCUGGAAGAAGAUUGAAGAGUAGGCAAGAUCUGGAGUCGUCAAAAGGUUAAAGCUCAGACAGAACCCCUCUGUGAACCAUCCACAAUUCCUGCUCAGGUGCUCUGGAAUUUUUCUGCAGUCCUGCUCCAAUGAGAAACAAAUACAACGGAACUCUUUGUGAAUGGCUUCAGAAGGGCAAAUAGAAACAUGGGAAAUUUGGUCCACAUCUACUUCUGACCUAGACCAUUGAAAGAAUGCUAAAGAGCAGGAUGGUUCAAGCUUCAGUAGGUAAGAAGACCUAGUAGCAACAGUA